rnacentral:rRNA from 1 species
AUCUCGGUUGAUCCUGCCAGUAGUCAUAUGCUUGUCUUAAAGAUUAAUCCAUGCAUGUGUAAGUAUAAGUAUUGUACAGCGAAACUGCGAAUGGCUCAUUACAUCAGUUAUAAUUUAUUUGAUAAUCGAAAGUUACAUGGAUAACCGUGACAAAUUACAGCUAAUACAUGCAGUCAGACCUGGUCCAAGGGUCGUAAUUAUUAGUAUUAAACCAUUUCCGCAAGGAGUGUGAUGAUUCAUAAUAAUCGAACGAAUCGCCUGGUGUGCGAUAAAUCAUUCAAGUUUCUGCCCUAUCAGCUUUGGAUGGUAGUGUAUUGGACUACCAUGGCAGUCACGGGUAACGGAGAAUUAGGGUUCGAUUCCGGAGAGGGAGCCUGAGAAACGGCUACCACAUCUACGGAAGGCAGCAGGAGCGAAAAUUGCCCAAUCCCGACACGGGGAGGCAGUGACGAGAAAUAACAACUCUUGGUUAUUCUAAGAAGUGUAAUGAGGAUAAUUUAAAACCCUUACCGAAAGCAAUUGGAGGGCAAGUCUGGUGCCAGCAGCCGCGGUAAUUCCAGCUCCAAUAGCGUAUAUUAAAGUUGUUGCAGUUAAAAAGCUCGUAGUUGAAGUUCUGGCUGCUCGACCCUCGAGCUCUGUAGCCGGGGGCUCGGCAGUCAUCCGCUUGCAAACAUAUGUUCGCCUUUAACCGGGCGGCUAUGUGAGCAAGCAUUUUACCUUGAGAAAAACAGAGUGUUCCAGGCAGGUUUGUCCGGAAUGCAUUAGCAUGGAAUAAUAGAAUAUGACUGAAGUCGAUUUAUUGGUUUGAGGCUUUAGUAAUGAUUAAUAGGAACAGUCGGGGGCAUUGGUACUUGUCAGUCAGAGGUGAAAUUCUAGGAUUUGACAAAGACUAACAAAUGCGAAAGCAUUUGCCAAGGAUGUUUUCAUUAAUCAAGAACGAAAGUUAGGGGAUCAAAGACGAUCAGAUACCGUCCUAGUCUUAACUAUAAACUAUACCGACUCGGAUUCAGAUGAAUCAUAAAGUUCAUUUGGGACCGUAGGAGAAAUCAAAGUUUUUGGGUUCUGGGGGAAGUAUGGUCGCAAGGCUGAAACUUAAAGGAAUUGACGGUUUUGCACCACCAUGGAGUGGAGUCUGCGGCUUAAUUUGACUCAACACUGGGAAACUCAUCAGGGCAAGAAGAUUGUAGGAUUGACAGAUUGAGAGUUCUUUCUUGAUUGGUCUAGUGGUGGUGCAUGGCCGUUCUUAGUUGGUGGAGUGAUUUGUCUGGUUAAUUCCGUUAACGAACGAGACCUUAACCUGCUAACUAGUAUAUCGAUGACAAAUCGAUAUUACUUCUUAGAGGGACUAUGUGAUGUAAUCACAUGGAAGUUUGAGGCAAUAACAGGUCUGUGAUGCCCUUAGAUGUCCUGAGCUGCACGCGUACUACAAUGGUGCUUUCAACGAGCUUUUCCUGAUCCGAAAGGAUUUGGGUAAUCUUUUUAGUGAGCACCGUGUUUGGGAUAGAUCUUUGUAAUUAUGGAUCUUGAACUAGGAAUUCCUAGUAAGCGCGCGUCAUCAGCGCGUGCUGAUUACGUCCCUGCAAAAUGUACACACCGCCCGUCGCUAUUACCGAUUGAGUGUAAAGGUGAACCUUCUCGAUAGACGCAAGUUUAAAAAUUAAGUAAACCUUUGCACUUAGAGGAAAUAAAAGUCGUAACAAGGUUUCCGUAGGUGAACCUGCAGAAGGAUCAA